AGACUGUAAAUGUCUUGUUUUCGAGCAUCCACACCUCCCAGGUCUGUCCCCACCUCUCUGUCUAAUUGACGCCUGGCUGUUCCCUUGUAGAGCCAGUUUCAGUGCCGGGCCCCGGUCCCUCCCAAACCACAAGGGACUCUUUGUUUGUAAUUUAUGAAUUAGUGUGUGGUUUUGGUUACGAGAAGAGAGGGAGAGCGCAUGAGCGGCUAGAAACACAGUUGGCUACAGCAGAGUUUUGGAUUAAGCGGACAUUAACCGGCUGGUGUUUAUGAUUCCACAUCAGCAGCGACGAGUGCGUGUAAAAAUAAAGGCUAGUUUUCGUUUCCGAUUUCCGUUUUGUUUGUGACACUCCUUGUCUGAGGUACUCUGUGUAAACCUGUGCGUGGCCAUCAGAUAAGGGUUUCUGCUCGGCUAUGAAAACACAAAGACGGAGCCGCUGGUGCUCCCGGCCUUUAUCUUCAUGUACAUAGCUGCUGCCGAGCCACCACCAGUCACUCUCUUCCUUUUUCAUGAAGUGCUUUUAUUUACUUUGUCUUAGUCUGAGUGGAACCUGGCACUCCACUGAGCUCUGGCCUGAAUCUACGUACAAGGAAAUUCAGUUGUUUUCCAAGCCCCCUGACCCCCACCCACGCACCCCUCCAAUUCUUCUUUCCUGCUGUAGAUUUGAUUUUUAUUUUUCAGGCUGAUUUGGAAGUGCAGCAUGCGUUCCUAAUGGUUUCUCCCAGGGGGCUCCCGUCCUUCCUUCCUUUCUUCCUUCCUUCCUUCCUUCACUCUGUCCUUUCUCUCUUACCUUCCUGGAUAACUCAUCAUUAAUAGGUAUCAUUUUGUAGUAACAAAGUAAGGGGUGUCUCCUGAUGCCUAAAACAGAUGUGAUUCACCCCCCACCAAAGAACUUCCUGGCAUUCUUUAACCUCAGUGUGCAGCUGCUUGAAGGGGGAGUAGGAGGUUGUUCUCCCUCAUCUGAUUCUUUCUCCAAACCUUGGUAUUUGUCCUUUCUGGUCAUAUUGAAAUUAGAGUCUUUUUUUUUUGUAAACACGGAGCCUGUCGACUGAAGGAAAGCUACGGAAAAUGCAUUUGUUAAUUGAGUUCUGGUAGAAAUUGUUUAUUGAAAAGCCAGUGAAACAUAGUUGCUACCAUCUGUCAAUCUUUAAAAAAAAACAAAAAUUGCUUUUGAGCUUCAUGGUAGGUUUGUCCCUCCUGUGUUUAUAACAGACACAGACACCUGCACACUAAUAUCCCAUAAUAAUCAAUAAUGAACCAGAGAAACAGCAGCUCCAUGCUGUUGACCUACUGUGUGAUUUAUUGGUCACACCGAGUUCCUCCGUACUCUUCUUUAACCACAGGUACAUCAACAUAUUUUUUCCUUUAUUGUGGACUUUACAGAGCGGAGCUGCACUGCCAAAUGAUACACAUGGCCUCUCUUUUACAGUGUAUUCACAAGAACCCAGUAACUUUCUUUCCCUUUUGGGCCAGUUCUUUAAAUCUAGAUAGAAGUUUUAACAGAGCAGCCUCUCCUGGAGGAGCAGUGUUUUAUUGCUCCUAUCAUGGCCGUGUUAUUGCCUGGACUAGGGGCAGAUGGGGGGGUGGUUGGGAAGCCUCAUCUGUGGGCUGUUAUUUAUCUCCCCGUGCGAGUGUGGGGGUAAGUCAUAGAGGAUCCUGGUGGAUUUAAAAGGUCAUCGAAAUGUGAAAAAGGAUGGGGAGGUGUGCGUGGUUAAAAUGUGGGGAGGAUUUACAGAACUUAACACCUGAGGAUCUGAAAUGUCGACUGAACGACCUGUGAAGAGACACGGUGGUGUUGGUGAUGCAGCAGUGGAAGGGUUUUAGUGAAGUCGAGCAGAAAAGUACAGCAGAUAUUAUAGGCUUUAUUCAAGCCUUUUAGUCAAACUCUCACAGCCAGCGUUCAACUCUUUAGAGUAAGUGAUUAUUCUGAGAUUGUGUGUGUGUGUGCAUGUGUGUGUGUGUGU